UUGAUUACUAUUAUUCAAUACAAAUUAGGAUAAAAAAUAACAGGGUAAACACCAUUAAAAAGCUACUCUAAAUUUAGGUUGUUCCUAUUUUUGUCAUCCAAAAACUUUGUUAAUUAGGUCAUCACCAUUAAAAAAAUUGACCACAUUGGUCCACUGUUAAAUUUAACAGAUGCUCUCGUUCCCUUUUUUUAUUUUUUUCUUUACUUUUUUUAUCUCUUCCUUACUUUUUUUUUCAUCUUCCCCUUUCUAACCCAAAACCCUAACUGUUUCCACCCUUAAAGAUGUCAUCAAUUCCUCCAUCAAACUACUUUAGGUAAAGGUUGUCUUGUCAAUGAACGACGCUAAGGGACGCUUCUUCUUAAUCCCUAUUGUCCUUCUCCUUUCUCAUUACCUACAGAUUCUACUUCUCAUCGUUGCUGCUAUGAUCAUCUGACAUCUUCUCUAGCGUCAGACUAUCAAUCCAAAACCACCAAAGUGAAGCUCAAAGCCUCUUCUUCAAAUAUAUAGGAUUAGAUUUCUAAAAAGAACUUUCAAAAAUUUUAAGGUCACUUCCAAAGUUUUAGAAUUUUUGUGAUUUGAUCUUCUUUUCAUCAAUAUGGCUUGAUUUUGAUAUGUCUUUCUACUUUUGAGCUUACCGAUGGUGGCUCGACAAAAGUAGCAAUGACAUCUUUAAGGGGGCAAUUGUUAGGGUUUUUGGCUUAAAAAGGAGAAGAUGGAGAAAAAGGGAGGAGAUAGAAAAACUAAGGAAAUAAUAAGAAUAAAAAAGAAAAGAACAAUUUUAAAAUGGAUUGAACGGUGGAAGAGAUGAAUUUAAUUGUUGGUUGAUCAAUUUGAUCAAUUUCUUUAACAAUGGUGAUCAAAUUAAGAAAAAACUUUGGGUGACCAAAAUUGGAACAACCUAAUUUUAAAGUGACUAAUACAAUAGUUUACCCAAAAUAAUAUACAUUUUAUAAUACAGCCUUCGUAUUAAAAGUUCUAUAAAGUGUUAAAUAGCUUUUAUAACACUUGUUUUAGAGUGGUCAAAUACGUGUACAUGUAAGAAUAAUAUAAAAUUUAUAAUAUAGCUUUAUAAACUUAAUUUGCUAUGAAGUCAGAAUUUGUGUG
rnacentral:lncRNA from 1 species